rnacentral:misc_RNA from 1 species
GUUCGAGGACUACAUGAAGCUCUACCAAAUUCAGAAGUUCCAGGCCAAGGAGCCGAGGUUUGAGACAAUGAAGACGUUGGAGGCUGCAAUCACCCCGCAGCUGAUUGCUACCUAAUAGGAUAUGCUCCUUAUGUUACAGAUAUAUAUGUUACUUUCAUAAGACUGAUGGUUGUGCUUGAGUUUGAGAGAUCCAACUAUGUUAGAAUGUUAG